rnacentral:rRNA from 1 species
CCUUAGUAACUGCGAGUGAAGCGGCAAAAGCUCAAAUUUGAAAUCGGCGUCCUUUGCGGGCAUCGAGUUGUAAUUUGGAGGGAUAACUUCGGUACAGACUACAUCGUAAGUUCCUUGGAACAGGACGUCAUAGAGGGUGAGAAUCCCGUGUCUUGGUGUUUGGCUGUGCCAUGUGAAGUGUCUCCGACGAGUCGAGUUGUUUGGGAAUGCAGCUCAAAAUGGGUGGUAAAUUUCAUCUAAAGCUAAAUAUUGGCGAGAGACCGAUAGCGCACAAGUAGAGUGAUCGAAAGAUGAAAAGCACUUUGAAAAGAGAGUUAAAAAGUACGUGAAAUUGUUGAAAGGGAAGCGCUUGCGACCAGACUCGAUCUUUGGUGAUCAGCCGGGCUUCGGUCCGGUGCCCUUACCAUUGAUUGGGCCAGCAUCGGUUCCGACGGCGGGAUAAAAGGAGGAGGAAUGUGGCUCCCUUCGGGGAGUGUUAUAGCCUUCUUCACAAUGCCGCCAGUUGGGACCGAGGACCGCGCUUCGGCUAGGAUGCUGGCGUAAUGGUCUUAAGCGACCCGUCUUGAAACACGGACCAAGGAGUCUAACAUCUAUGCGAGUGUUCGGGUGGAAAACCCUUGCGCGUAAUGAAAGUGAACGGAGGUGUGAACCCUUUACCGGGUGCAACAUCGACCGGUCCUGAUGUCUUCGGAAGGAUCUGAGUAAGAGCAUAGCUGUUGGGACCCGAAAGAUGGUGAACUAUGCCUGAAUAGGGUGAAGCCAGAGGAAACUCUGGUGGAGGCUCGCAGCGGUUCUGACGUGCAA